UCAAGUGUCUAUAAAAAUCGGAAGUACUAACCGUUCGUCACGUCACUACGAAGAAGCGACACCAUGCGUCUGAUCUUGACUCUGUUCUGUAUCCUGCUGGCGCUUGGGCUCGCAAACGCCACUUACAACACCGUGUAUCAUCCUACACGGGAUAUUGCGAGCUCCGAAGCAAGAAAAAGGCAAAACACCAACGCAUUGAUGAAACGUGCGAUCCAAAGGAAAGCCAAAGGAAAGGAUGUUUGGAAGAGGGCGUUUCCAUUACACUCCUUCUGUUAUGAUCUGGCACAUGGCAACAGCGGUUAAAUGAAAAUAAACAACUGCUAUAUAAAAUAGAACAGGCCUGCAUCGGAAGACUUGGAUGAAAGACAAACUUUUAUAAACUUGAAGAAGAAUUUUUUAUUCAAUAAAGUUGGAACUAAUUUUAUAUUGAAAAUCAAAACAAUUAAUUAAGUUAUCUAUAAAUGUAGUCUAAAGGAAACAAAUAAUGUGUAUAAAAAUGAAAACAAUAUAAAACUGUAUAUUAAAAUAGCAUACAUUUCCUUGUGCAGUAAAUAUCAUUCAUCUCUGUU